UACGAGGGGAGCAAGCGUUGUUCGGAUUUACUGGGCGUAAAGGGCGCGUAGGCGGUCGUGACAAGUCACUUGUGAAAUCUCCGGGCUUAACUCGGAACGGUCAAGUGAUACUGUCGGACUAGAGUACAGAAGGGCAACUGGAAUUCUCGGUGUAGCGGUGAAAUGCGUAGAUAUCGAGAGGAACACCUGCGGCGAAGGCGGGUUGCUGGGCUGAUACUGACGCUGAUGCGCGAAAGCCAGGGGAGCGAACGGG
rnacentral:rRNA from 1 species